rnacentral:rRNA from 1 species
UACGUAGGGUGCAAGCGUUAAUCGGAAUUACUGGGCGUAAAGCGUGCGCAGGCGGCAGAGCAAGUCGAGUGUGAAAGCCCCGGGCUUAACUUGGGAAUUGCGCUCGAAACUACUUUGCUGGAGUGUGGCAGAGGGAGGUGGAAUUCCACGUGUAGCGGUGAAAUGCGUAGAGAUGUGGAGGAACACCGAUGGCGAAGGCAGCCUCCUGGGCCAACACUGACGCUCAUGCACGAAAGCGUGGGGAGCAAACAGG